AGGUCUGCACUGGGUCCAUAAGACAUUCAUCAUUCAAUGGUAGAACAUUUUAUCUACAUUUGUCAUAUUUUACAGAGAUCCAGGAGGUACUGAAAAAGGGACAAUGCUUCGACUGACUGUGUCAUCCAUGUACCAGUAUAGACCUGUUAAUGAGGCAUAUCCAAUAAUUCUUAUACUCAUGAAGAGUGCGGCAACUCCCAAGUAGUUAAGGAUGGCACGCAUUUUAAAUCAGAUCCUCACUUCUAGGAUGUUUUCCAUGUUCUUGUGAAAAGUGUUUUACAUGGCACCAUUCAGCUACAAAUACUUUGCCGGUGGAACUGUGACAUCAAUCAACUGCUCAUGCCACUGCUAAUUGGCAGAAUUUCCUUUGGGACAAGCAAACUGUUUCAAAUAUUUUACACCUGCAAGUAGUGAUGAGUGUACUGGAAGUUUUUUCGGGAUCUUGUCCGACAUCAUAGGUACAACUGGUCACUGUGCUUUCUUGGUUAUAUAAGCAGACAUAUUGUUAAAGCGGUGACACAUGUAGCUUCAAAUGAUGCUUGACUGUUUAAGUGUUUUUCUUUGAUUUAUAAGUAAACCUGGAUUGAUCUCUGAUGCAGUAAUAUAGAGCCAUGUCCAUUCUUUAAUAUUCCAUCAUCCCACUGUCACAAAGUACUGAAAUAAAAAUGAUUUUGAUUUUAAAAA